CAGAGACAUUGCCUGUUGUCGCAGACACUGGUCUAGGUGUCUCAGCACGGGAAAGAAGGCAGGAAGGGAGGAGCAGUGUUGGACAGAAACGUCACUCAUCAGUGAUUGCUUCUGGUGUUUUUUGAUCUGUCUGCUGUAUCCUGAACAUUUUCCAUGCAUCAGUGACUGGGAAUAUUUUAAGCUGGCGUCAAAGACAGAGUCUGUGGGGAAGUCUGCACACAAAGAAUCCUUCUUCAUUGUUCUGGCUCAGCAGUGAUCGUGCCUUUUGCCAGCUGCUUCUCCUGCUGCAGCAGCAGAGCAAACUAAAAAUAAUCAAUCAGAUCAUGAUCCCCAAUCCAUAGUCUCAUUUCCAGAGCCAAAGCACUACUGGAUGACAGAAAAUACUCAACUCCAUUAGCAGCAGCCAUCCGGCAGAGCCCAGCUUGGCAGAGCCCAGGCUAAUGGCUGUGCAAGGAAGCACAGGAGAGGCCACACAGGAAGAUGAUACAAAGAGGAACCACAGUUGUAGAUGAGGAGUAGAACACAAUGAAAUGGGCUGGAGGACUCUGGAAUGUCCUCUGGCAUAAGGAACCAACCUCAUCUCUGUAAGCUUUGUGCAGGAAAAAUGCCCUAACAGAGAAUCACAAAAUCCCAGCAUGGCAGGAGUUGGAAGGGACCUCUGGAGAUCAUCAAGGCCACCCCCUGCCCGAGCAGGAUUACUCAGGGCAGCUCACACAGGCUCACAUCCAGAUGGGCCUUGAAAGUCUCCAAAGGAGAAGACUCCACAAGCUGUCUGGGCAGCCUGCUCCAGGACUUCAGCACUCUCACAUUUUCCUCGUGUGGAGGUGGAACUUCACAGAGUUCCCACCUGGGCACCCCUGGCUCAUCUCCAGUUGCUGUCACCCAGCACCCCCAGGGCACUUCCCAUCCACUCUGCCCCCAGCCUGCAGACUUCAUGGGGUUGUUGUGACCCAAGGGCAGGACCCAGCCCUUGGCCUUGUUGUACUUCAUCCCACUGGCCUCAUGCCAUCGAUCCAGCCUGUCCAGACUUCUCUGUAGCCUUCCUCAACACUCCCUCCCAGCUCCGUGUCAUCUGCUGCAAACUGGCUGAGGGAACCUCAACGCCCUCAUCCAGGUCAUUAAUAAAGACAUUAAAGAGAACUGGCCCCAGCACUGAGCCCUGAGGAUCACCACCAAUGACUGUCCUCCAGCUAGAAGCUACAAGGUCUGGAAGUGGUGCAAAAGAAGGAAGGUACUCCUGAAGACAGGGUGAGGGAAGAAGGGAGAAGUCCAGAGGGAAGAUGAUGUUUAGUGAAAAGCUGUCUAGGAAACAGCUCCCUUGAGAAGAGUUAAUGGCUGCAUUCAGGAGCCUGUAGCUGUCUCUAGGACAUCACAGUGUUACACCUGGGUCCUAGAAGGAAACCUGAACUGAAGCCAGCGGAGCCCAGCAGAGAUCAGAACUUCUGGAAAUAGCUUCUUCUGCAGAGGAAGGAAGGUUCUGUGCUGAGAGUCAUGUGUGUCCUCUCAGCGUCUCUUCCAGAAACAGCCUCUGCUGCCUGUGUCUGUAGGGCUUUGGACACCAGCUGCUGCUGCUGCUGCUGACGUUUGGAUUCUGAGCUGGAAAUCCUGUUUACCAAGUUACCACUUGCCUUGGUAAAGAGUUCCAGCUCCUUACUGCUGGGACCCAUGGGGCUCUGCGGAGAAGAAAAAGGACUAAUUGGAAGGACAUAAUUUCUCUGGCAAAGUCAGCCUCUUGCUCUGUCCAUGAGCGUGGCAGCAGUGUGGUUUCUGGAAUGGCCUUCUUGUUCCAGAACAUUCCCUGAGCAGGAGCUCUAUGCUGUGACAUUUGCCACUAGAUGUUGGCUGCUGAUGCAUUUCUCCGAAGGCAGGCCUGAUCGUGCUGGAGAACACUUCUGUGGAGGAAGCUUCCUGCUGUGGUUGAUAUUUGUCCCCCUGCUCUGGAAGGUUGCUCCAUGUGAUGACAAAGGCUGAAGCUUCUCACAGGCUGUUGGAGAAUUCAUGUGCUGCGAGAGAAGUGAUGAUGCAGGAGAUGCUGCUGGGGCAGAAAGCACUACGAGAUGAGCGUCGAGCACAGAAGAACUGAUGUGGGUCCCAAAGGAAAGAUGGAAUCCAUUUAACAGUGGCAGGAACAUAGAGGAUGUAAAGUAUGGAAGUGCUGAUGCCAGUGAAGUUGUCCUCACACUGGUGGUAAUCUGCUUGGGCAGAAGCAAGCUGCUGAAGUGUUGGGCUGCAGCAAAGCACAUCACUGCUUCCCCUUACUGCCUGGAGCUUUAAUGCACAAGGGAAAACUGAAUAAACACAUUCCAGGAGCGUCACAGGACACAGAAGCAGCCUGCAAUAUCCACUGCAGCAGGAUUCUCUUGUAGAGCUGCAUGUACACCAGAGUACUCAGGAGGCAGCAUUUCUACAGCAGUUUGCUUCAAUGCUUACAGAAAAUCAGCUUUUCUGUGAUGACACAAAGUGUGGCUGCAGAUCUCUGUCUGGAAUCAGGGAACACAGCCUAGGUGCCACCUCUUGCUGCACCACAGCAUCAUACGUAAGAUUUAGCAGUGGCCUUGGUCUGCACAGGAGGAAGCACAAAGAGCCUUUCUGCAUCCCAGCCCUUGGCAAAUCACAGAAUGGAGGGGUUGGAAGUAACCUCUGGAGAUCAUCCAGCCCAACCCCUCUGCCAGAGCACAGUGACCCAGGGCAGGGUACACAGGAACACAUCCAGAUGACCCAGCUGUGCUCCUGGCCACCCGGCACCAAAGCAGGAGGACCACCGCGGCUGCUCCGUGGGAGAGGUUAAGCUGGAAAUGCAGAGAGCUGCGGCAGAAGGGUUGAAUGGGAAAGAAAAGGCAAAGCUCCAGGAACUGUUUGUGCCUCCCUGCAAACGCUGCUGAUGUCAUUCUUUUGGAAGUGAGGAGCAAAACUCCUUCGGAGCCUAAUGAGAAGAGGCUGAGGCCCUGCACAGCAAAGCUGCGCUCUGGAUCCCUGGAAGCCAGGUCUGUGACUGGUGCGACACAGGCAGGCUGAGCCUUGGAACGGGUCUGAUGGGGUGCCAGUGGGAAGUGGCAGUGCCACAGCUGGGGGUGGUCUGCACUCUGCCUGCUCCUGCUCUGCAGGCUGCAGUUAUGGAGUCACGGGAUGAGGGGUGAUGGCUUCAGGCUGGAAGAAACUGGACUGAGAUGAGCAAUGAGGAAGCAAUUCCUGCCCAGGAGGGUGGGAAGGUACUAGAACAGGUUGUCCAGAGAAGCUGUGGAGGCUUCAAGCCUGGCAGUGUUCAAGGCCAGGUUGGCUGUGUCCUUGAGCAACCUGGGCUAGUGAGAGGUGUCUCUGCCCAUGGCAGGGGGCUGGAACUGGAUCUUGAAGGCCCCUUGCAAUCCAGACCAUUCUGUGCUUCUAUGAGUGUAAGUUCCCAACUGAGCUCAGGUCAUUCGCAUCCAAUGCUUCCACACUGCACCAAAGCCCGGGGGUUCUUGGACCAUAGCUUGUGGGGGGGCUGAGCCCAGCAGCUUUUUCAGGUGAGGCUGGUGGCUGAAUGUGGGUCUUAAGUGCUGUAUUGAAGACCAAAGUUUAUUUAUUCAGCCUCAAGAUAAGCAACUUAAUGUUGCUGAUUUGAAUGCAAAUGAGGGCAAGACCUCAUGCCUGGAGGACUCUCUGAUGUGGUUACACUGGAGGUUUACACUAAACACAAGUGGAAAUCUGAAACACAGUUGUCCCAGCCUACCAAAUCAGUUUGCGUAAAGCAUGUGGAGCUUGGAAAAGCAUUGUCUGCAGACAGGCUGUGCAAGUGGUGUUGCUUUCAUCUGGAGAAGGCUGCACUUGCAGUGACUUAUUGAGGCCUGUUUUGCUAAUUCACUGAAAUACCACCUGUAGCACAGAACCACUGCCAAAGCCCUUUCAGCUCACCUAGCCCAGCCAUUCUCUAACAAGGCUGGGGUUAAGCCAUGGCCCUCAGCACCUCUGCCUCUGGGAAACACCUCCAGGAGUGGCCAUUCAGUCCUCUCCCUGGGGAGCCUGUGCCAGGCUCUGAGAACCCUUUCAGUCAAGAAGUUUCUUCUGUUGUCUGCAACCUAAACCUUCCCUGGGGCAACUUGAGGCCAUUUCUUCCUCUUCUGUCACCUGAUCCUAGGAAGAGACUAAACCCCACCUGACUCCAGAGACAGGUGUCCUUUCAGCCUCCUCCACACUAAACUCCUUCAGCUGCUCCUCACCAGCCCUGAUCUCCAGACACUUCACCAACUUUGUUGCCCUCCUCUGGACCUGUUCCAGCACCUCUACAUCCUUCUUGGAGUGAGGACAACCCUCACUUGUCAGGAAGAAGAGAGCUGGGCUUUUGUAAGAAACUGUUCCUUGCUGUGAUGGUACUCUCUGGUAGACAGAGGGUGUUGAAGGAGAGAGCCUCUCUAAAUUCCCUGGAGCCAGGGCUUUGUUUUGAAGUGAGGUAAAAGACAGAAUACCAGUGCAGCCAGAGAAGCUGAGACACCCUCGGAUCACCUUGGUGAGGGCUGAAACUCCUCGCUGUGCCAGGGGAUAAACGUACGAACAGGCAGCAGCACAGCAUGCAAGGAGACCUUUGUGAACCACUGCCCUGGGACAACUCACCUAGCUCAGCCGGCAGGGCAGUGCUGGCGCUCUGUGGAACAACCUUGCUUAGUGCUCUAUUCUGUUAAAGUAACCAAGGUUCGCCACGGGGCUUCAGCUUU